GUCCAGGGAUGGGAAUCGAACCCAUGAUGUUCCGUUUACCGGGCAGAUGCCAUGUCCACUAGGCUACCCUGGA